rnacentral:snRNA from 1 species
GUGCUCGCUUCGGCAGCACAUAUAUUAAAUUUGGAAUGAUACAGAGAAGAUUAGCAAGGCCCCUGUGCAAGGAUGACACGAAAAUUCAUAAAGUGUUUCAUAUUUUU